rnacentral:rRNA from 1 species
UACGUAGGGUGCGAGCGUUGUCCGGAAUUAUUGGGCGUAAAGAGCUUGUAGGCGGUCUGUCGCGUCUGCUGUGAAAAUCCGGGGCUCAACCUCGGACUUGCAGUGGGUACGGGCAGACUAGAGUGUGGUAGGGGAGACUGGAAUUCCUGGUGUAGCGGUGAAAUGCGCAGAUAUCAGGAGGAACACCGAUGGGCGAAGGCAGGUCUCUGGGCCACUACUGACGCUGAGAAGCGAAAGCAUGGGGAGCGAACAGG